AAGUCGACGGAUGUCAGCAAUGGCAUUACGUGGCGGACACGGGUGCGUAACACCGUAACUAACCUACCUAUAACUGGGGGAGUAGCCGCCGAAAGGCGGACUUAAUACCGCAUAAGCUCUUUGGCUGGCAUCGAGCUGAUUAGUAAAGAUUUAUUGGUUAUAGAUGGGGUUGCGGGUCAUUAGCUAGUUGGUUGGUAACGGCUGACCAAGGCGACGAUGACUAGGGGAGCUGAGAGGCUGGUCCCCCACACGGGCACUGAGAUACGGGCCCGACUCCUACGGGAGGCAGGCAGUAGGGAAUAUUGGGCAAUGGGCGAGAGCCUGACCCAGCCAUGCCGCGUGCAGGAAGAAGGCUUUCUGAGUCGUAAACUGCUUUUGACAGGGAAGAAUAAGGUGUACGUGUACGCUGAUGACGGUACCUGCAGAAUAAGCACCGGCUAACUCCGUG
rnacentral:rRNA from 1 species